rnacentral:rRNA from 1 species
CCUACGGGAGGCAGCAGUGGGGAAUAUUGCACAAUGGGGGAAACCCUGAUGCAGCGACGCCGCGUGAGUGAAGAAGUACUUCGGUAUGUAAAGCUCUAUCAGCAGGGAAGAAAAUGCCGGUACCUGAGUAAGAAGCCCCGGCUAACUACGUGCCAGCAGCCGCGGUAAUACGUAGGGGGCAAGCGUUAUCCGGAUUUACUGGGAGUAAAGGGAGCGUAGACGGCAGUGCAAGUCUGGAGUGAAAGGCGGGGGCUCAACCCCCGGACUGCUCUGGAAACUGUACGGCUGGAGUGCAGGAGAGGUAAGUGGAAUUCCUAGUGUAGCGGUGAAAUGCGUAGAUAUUAGGAGGAACACCAGUGGCGAAGGCGGCUUACUGGACUGAAACUGACGUUGAGGCUCGAAAGCGUGGGGAGCAAACAGGAUUAGAUACCCUUGUAGUC